rnacentral:miRNA from 1 species
ACCUAAGUUUGUUCUGGGUAUAAGCUUUUGUGUGCAUGCACACUUCUUCAGAUACUUCUUCAGAUCUGAAGAAGUGUGCAUGCACACGAAAGCUUAUACCCAGAACAAACUUAGUUGG